rnacentral:rRNA from 1 species
UACGGAGGGUGCGAGCGUUAUCCGGAAUUACUGGGUUUAAAGGGUGCGUAGGCGGCGCUGUAAGUCAGGAGUGAAAGUUUGCGGCUCAACCGUAAAAUUGCUUUUGAUACUGCAGUGCUGGAAUUAGGAUGAGGUCAGCGGAAUGUGGCAUGUAGCGGUGAAAUGCAUAGAUAUGCCAUAGAACACCAAUUGCGAAGGCAGCUGGCUAGACCUGGAUUGACGCUGAGGCACGAAAGCGUGGGGAGCGAACAGG